UCCACCAGCAUAAGCAACAUCUAGUGAUUUCUUAAAUUGAGGUAGAAUUUAUAUAACAAAUGAAACACUUCAAGUGUAUAACACAGUUAUACUUAAUACAUUUCCAAGGCUGUUGAGCCAUCCCCAGAAUAUUUCUAACCCCCCCCCAGAAAAAAACAAAAAAGUACUAAUUUUUAGUGACUAACUUUCCUCUUUCCCAGUCCAUCUGUCUGCUGCUUGGACAUUUAAAACCCCAUCAAUGCACCUCAAAAGUCACCCACUGGGGCCUAAGAUGUCCUGUACCUGGAGCCAGGUCCUCCUUCAUGAUGGUGAGGCUGUAGUUGGGUUUGACAGCUUUGGCAAGCUCCCAAAUACACAUCUCAGAUCUGCCUGUCAUCUGAAACACACACACACACACACACACACACACACACACACACACACACACACUCACACUCUAGACAUGGUGGUGUACACCUUUAAUCCCAGAAUUUGGGAGGCAAAGGCAGGCAGAUCUCUUUGAGUUCGAGGCCAGCCUAGUAUAUAAAGCAAGUUCCAAAGCAGCCAGGGAUACCCAGUUUGAGAUCCUGUCUCAAAACACAAACUACAAAUACAGACUACCUUACUUGGCACACAUCUGGCCACUAAGGGGGCAGCCACGGGGCAGAAAAUACAUCAAUACAAUGCUGAUUGGGGUUAUUUCAGGGCUAUUUCAGACAAUAAUAAAGACAAAUAAUUGCGUUAUGACCUCAGCAUAGAUGCCAGUGAAGUUCAAGGAUGUGAGAUGACUCACACAGCCCUGCCCAGUUGACUAUGACCUCUUGGUUCAGGAGAUGUGGUCAGGCCUGAGGCAGGAUGGACGAGAGAAGCGUGAACUCAUAUCCAUCACCACUGGGAAGGCUUUUGUUUUGAGAAAGGGUCUAAACAGAAACCACUCAUUGCUCCUGGAGAUACUUGGCAGAAGAGCUGGCCACAUUCUUGGCUCCAACUUCCGACUGAAAUGGAAUCGUGCAUUAACCUCAGCUGCCCAAGAAGAGGACAGGGAGGUCAGGAGACCUUCUCAUGGGCAGUAUCUUAUCUGUUCGAUGAGAAUCUGAGUCUCUGGAUAUGACCAAGGACUCACACUCACAUAAAGUCAGGGAACAGAGUUCAGAGUCCGCAUCUGGGCUCCUCCAGUCACACUUCAUAAAGCCAUUCAGUCACACAGAGUGGGACAUUCAGCUUCUCUGUUUGUAACUGCUGGAGGUGAGUGUAACAAACCUUGCAGUCAGGAGUCCUUCUAGGGGUCCUGGCCUUGGCCACCACUGUCUCAUCUGCUCUCUCAGACUGCUGACACCAUAGGCAGCAUUGGAGACUGCUCCUAAGGCUUAGGGACAGAAGAUGUUUGCCCCAAAGGAACUGAGUAAGGUGGAGUCAGAGCCAGGCAAAGAUCCACGUGACCCAAUUCCCACUAUUGUCUCGAUGCCUAGACUCUGGAGCCUGGUCGCAGACAGAACCAGACAUGCACAUUUAUCUUGUGACAAGUGCAAAUGCCUGGAAAGAAAAAAUGGAUUACAGAAGCCAGCCCCCUGUAUUCUCUGGACAAAUGAAAUUGAGAUUAAUUUGUGUGAAGACGCCUAGAGUCUAAAUCAAAUGGAAGGAGAAUGUAUUGAGAUCUUGGGCUUGUGUAUCUUUCCCUCCAGAGAUUCCUUCCACAGCCAGCAGAGUCUCCACCCCAUUCCCUGCCUUGCUGAGAAUCUUCCUCAUCCUCAAAAGGUAUAAGCCAUUCUAAUAAAUCCCCUUUUAGUAUAUACAGAUUCAUUCUAUCAACUCUAGUCCUCUAGAGAACCUUGACUAAUACAAAACAUUCUCAAGUUUGGAGUGCCAUCCGGGGCUUCACAUGAAGGAAUCUAGAACACAGUUAUGUUCAACUUCUUAUAGCCUUCUGGAGCAGUGAUGAAUCACCAAGCCAGAUGAACAAAUUCUAUUGCGUACAGAUGGCAGGGUUGCGUUAUCCGUUCUUCUACUGAUGGACAUCUAGGCUGGUUCCCCGCUGUUGUAAACAAAACAGCAAGAAACACGAUACGCAAGAGUCUCUGAGAGGUUGAAGAGCCUGCAGCCGGCACAGACAAGAGGCAACUGGUUCCGGAGAUCAUUUCUGAACCAGAAUCCGAGGGCUGCCAUGGCAAAGGCGGGCUAGAGAGAUUGUGGCUCCAGAGGAUGGAAACAAAGAACUAACAUCAGAGGUGGGCCCUACACCCAUUUACCCCUCAGGAGGUUGAAUUUCUGGUGGUCCAACCAACUGGACGCUGCAUGAACACAGCUUCCUGACUCACCAUGGUGUCUCUAGCAUCAAGCCAGGCUUAUGGUUGAUUGAAGGAUCAGAGGAACAAGCACACGGCUUAUGUUAUACACGAGGCAGUCAAAGUCAAAGGAAGCUGGCUUUUAAGAGAAAUAGUUGGGUGAGAAGGCAGGGUGCUCCACCCUGGCCCAGGCAGCAUUCAUUCUGUGUUCCUCUGUUUCUUCUCCGGAUUGGUUAAAAGUCUUGUCUAGGGACUGGAGAGAUAGCUCAGCAGUUAAGAGCCUUGGCUGUUCUUCCAGGGGACACAAAUUGGGUUCCCAGCACUCACGUGGCAGCUUAGGAUUUUCUGUAACCCAAGUUCCAGGGCAUCUGAUGCCCUCUUCUGGCCUCCAGAGGCACUGCAUGCACAUAGUGAAUAUAAGCAGGCAGGCAGAACACCCACACCCAUAAAAUAAAAAUAAAUAAAUGGUUUUAAAAAUC